UGGGGAAUCUUGCGCUAAUGCGCGAAAGCGUGACGCAGCGACGCCGCGUGGGGGAUGAAGGCCCUCGGGUUGUAAACCCCUUUCGGCAGGGACGAAGCGAUUGUGACGGUACCUGCAGAAGAAGCCUCGGCUAACUACGUGCCAGCAGCCGCGGUAAGACGUAGGAGGCGAGCGUUGUCCGGAUUCAUUGGGCGUAAAGAGCGCGCAGGCGGCUUGGUAAGUCGGAUGUGAAAACCCAGGGCUCAACCCUGGACGUGCAUCCGAUACUGCCCGGCUAGAGGUAGGUAGGGGAGAUCGGAAUUCCUGGUGUAGCGGUGAAAUGCGCAGAUAUCAGGAGGAACACCGGUGGCGAAGGCGGAUCUCUGGGCCUUACCUGACGCUCAGGCGCGAAAGCUAGGGGAGCGAACAGG
rnacentral:rRNA from 1 species